CAUACAAGGACAAUUUCUUUUU
rnacentral:miRNA from 3 species